GAUGAAGAACGUAGCGAAAUGCGAUAAGUAAUGUGAAUUGCAGAACUCAGUGAAUCAUCGAAUCUUUGAACGCACAUUGCGCCCGCCAGUAUUCUGGCGGGCAUGCCUGUCUGAGCGUCAUUUCAACCCUCAUGCCCCUAGGGCGUGGUGUUGGGGAUCGGCCAAAGCCCGCGAGGGACGGCCGGCCCCUAAAUCUAGUGGCGGACCCGUCGUGGCCUCCUCUGCGAAGUAGUGAUAUUCCGCAUCGGAGAGCGAUGAGCCCCUGCCGUUAAACCCCCAACUUUCCAAGGUUGACCUCAGAUCAGGUAGGAAUACCCGCUGAACUUAAGCAUAUCAAUAAGCGGAGGA
rnacentral:misc_RNA from 1 species